GGGAUGUUGGCUUAGUGGUACAGCACUUGCCUCCCAUGCAUGUGGCCUUAGGUUUGAUUCCUCAGCACCACA
rnacentral:tRNA from 1 species